rnacentral:rRNA from 1 species
GAUGAACGCUGGCGGCGUGCUUAACACAUGCAAGUCGAACGAUGAAGCCCAGCUUGCUGGGUGGAUUAGUGGCGAACGGGUGAGUAACACGUUAGUAACCUGCCCUUAACUCUGGGAUAAGCCUGGGAAACUGGGUCUAAUACCGGAUAGGAGCGUCCACCGCAUGGUGGGUGUUGGAAAGAUUUAUCGGUUUUGGAUGGACUCGCGGCCUAUCAGCUUGUUGGUGAGGUAAUGGCUCACCAAGGCGACGACGGGUAGCCGGCCUGAGAGGGUGACCGGCCAAACUGGGACUGAGACACGGCCCAGACUCCUACGGGAGGCAGCAGUGGGGAAUAUUGCACAAUGGGCGCAAGCCUGAUGCAGCGACGCCGCGUGAGGGAUGACGGCCUUCGGGUUGUAAACCUCUUUCAGUAGGGAAGAAGCGAAAGUGACGGUACCUGCAGAAGAAGCACCGGCUAACUACGUG